rnacentral:rRNA from 1 species
CUAAGUUUGAUGGCGACCGGCGCACGGGUGAGUAACACGUAUCCAACCUGCCGAUGACUCGGGGAUAGCCUUUCGAAAGAAAGAUUAAUACCCGAUGGCAUAGUUCUUCCGCAUGGUAGAACUAUUAAAGAAAUUUCGGUCAUCGAUGGGGAUGCGUUCCAUUAGGUUGUUGGCGGGGUAACGGCCCACCAAGCCUUCGAUGGAUAGGGGUUCUGAGAGGAAGGUCCCCCACAUUGGAACUGAGACACGGUCCAAACUCCUACGGGAGGCAGCAUG